UAGGAUGUCAAAGGGGAACUGUUAGUAUGUUUGUUCAGUUUUUUGGUACAGAGUGGAGUCCACCCAGAGAUUUGUUACAUUUUUUCUUUUAUCUUUGAAUCGUUUGCUUUUUAAAUAUUGCUUGUGUUGAAUAAACCGUAAGCAGUUUCCUUCUGACCUACAGAGAAAGCAGGUGGAUUACACCAGCCUCACAGUUUUUAUCUUUAUAUGGAUUUUUGUUCCAUCCUGAUGAUCACACGAGUGUUGAGGAUUUAACAGAUCUCUUAAGAACAACAUCCAGAAAACCAUCCCAGCAGAGUCUGGACAGGACGUCACUCUGACAUGUUGAGCUCCAAACAGCGAGUCAGAGAAAAUGAGCGAACAGCUUCAUCAACUUGAUUAUUGAUCCAGAGAGUUAGUUUCCUGCUUGGCUUCUCAGUGUCCUUGUCUAGUCUCGUCUACUUUUCUACUUUUCUACUCUUUCCCUGGAACUCUCUCACAGUCUGUUCUCUAAAACCUAAAGAGGAAUUAUGAAUUUGAUGAACUUGUCCCUGAAUGCAAUUGACACCCUCUUCUCAACAAGAAGCCUGGGCUCAGGUGAGCCUGAGUGUCCUGGAAGGACAUUCCCUGCCGGUACAUGAUGGAUGGGUGGAACUGGAGGGUCGUGUGCCUGGCGGGACUGUCAAUCGAGGACAUUGAAGACAUCUACCUGUUCAGAACCAUGAUAACAGGGUUCUUGCUGAUCGGAGCUGACUUGGCCCUGGCUUGUCGAAGAUUAAAGAAAGUGGAGUCGGCUGUUCAAACCCCCACAAGGCUGCCCACUGGGAUUAAAACUUCUCAAAAUGGGCUCAUUGAACACAGCACGGAUCUUGGAGAAGCUCGAGGCUGUCGUGAGCACUCAGACUAAGAUCUUUGAGUGCAAAAUUGAUACCAACUCGGAGAAGCUCACAGCUCUCCAAUUGAGAGACCAGUCACAGACUGUUGUACCAAGUGUGAAAUUGACAUGCAGUUGCUCGCACUAAAGGAAAACCACCAUCAUUUCGGCGCCAGCUGUGGCCUCAAGGCUGGAGCUGAACAUAACAAAUUCUCACCCUGAUUACAGACUGUGUUUCGACAGUUCCUUGUUACUUGUUCCUCGUUGCUUGUCAUGUGGUUUAUGCUGUUGUGAUGUAAAUAUGUGUGCUCUCUGUGCAGAGGAGUUUUUUUGUUUUCUCUUCUCAUGCUGACCUCCCACAAGGAGCCCAGCAUGAGUAGAGGUCGCUUUUUUUUUCCUCCUCCACUUGCCCAUUGUAUUGUACAUUUCAUUGUUUUUUCCAAAUUACUACCCGUCUCCGGCCUGUCUUCCUAUGUCAUGUCUGUAUUGUCCGAAAUCCAAUUUCGCUGCAGGUGUAAAUAUUGCAUGUGAUAAAUAAAGGUUUGAUUGAAUUGAAUUGAUCUUCACUCUUCACUCUCGCACUGCAGGCUUACUUACUGAGCUCAGUUUGUGAGUCAAAAGUGGCCUUGCUCUACAAGCCUUCAUUAUUAAAGUACAUAAAACAAUAUAAUAAGAAAAUAAGGAUACUAAGGAUAUUAAUUACAUGACAGAGUACAGCUGGUUUAUUCUCCUGGUUUCUCUCUCUGUGGUAUACCUCUUGGUGACUGUCCAAGGCUGUGAGUAGCAGUUUCCAAGGCCUCAGGUAUGGACAACUUGCUGUACUUCUUCACACCUUUCUGCAGCUCUGAUACUUGUCUACCUUCCCUCCGUGCUACCUUGAUCUUGGCCUCUAGUCUCCUUCUCCAUGGAGGGUACUGCUCCUUGUGGCUGUUCAUCUUGUAGCCAAGCAUCUCACUGAUCACUGCUGCCAUAGUGUAGAUCAGCUGGUGGGUUUCAGUGAUGGUCACAGCAUGUAUUGUCAGUGAUGCUUCAUUCACAUCAUCUAGUAGACUUUCAGAGGGUACUUCAUGUAGUCUGGGUAGUUUUAUACAGAGGGUCCAGGUUUCCAGCUCAGCCAUUAUCUUCUCUUUCAGGUCAGCUGCUCUCAUCUUCCACACCUUCAACGCAUCAGGUGCUCUUGGGGUUUGGUACCUAAUCUUGGAAGGUGGGAUUGAUGAUAUCUAAGAGAAAAGUGUAAAAUCCUUCAAAGUAAAAGUAUUUCUCCACUGCUGAGUUGGAUUAUGCGAUAUGACCAGUUUAUGUUCCAGCUUGCUGUGUGGCCUCCUGCGCUUUUGGGCCUCAUGUGGAGCCACUGUGAGCAGAUGCAGACUGACACAGCCCACAGUGGGCCCAGUACUGAUGUGAAAAGCAGGACACAUACGUUACUCAUACUGUGGGCUCCAGAUGUGCCCCUGUGAGGAGCCCCUAUUGUGGGCUGUGUGUCGCCCACACUAAGCAAACAGGGUUUCCACUGGGACUGAACCCACAGUAUACAAAUCCAGAGAGCAGCUGUUUGCUGUCAUUUAAGUUUCUAUUCAGAGCUUUCAGCUGAAGAGGAAGAACUCUGUUCUCUGUUUGAACCACUUCCUGUUUUACACUGAAAUAACUUCACCACAUUAUCUGGAAGGCUGAGUGAAGAUGCUGAGCUCCUCCACACGUCACUUCAAUAAAACCUUUGUUUUAUAAUUAAAUGAUUUAUUCAUUCAUGUAUCAGGUUUUGGUUUAUAGCAUAAUGAGAACACAGGUGCUCACGCUUGUUCUACAUACAGCUGUCAUGGUUCUGGGUUCUUUUGACUCAGCGCUUUCUUGUGUUUUGGUGUCUAAUGUAUUAUUAUUAUUAUUAUUAUUGUAGUUUAUUGUUUAAUUUUGAGUUCAUUCUUAUUACCUCUCUGAGUUUACUUGUGAUCAGUUUAGCUCCUUGGUAGGUUUCCCUUGUGUCUUUGUCUCUGUGUCGAUCCGUGUGUCUGUUUAUGUGUGUUUGUUUCUUGUUUCCCUCCUUGUGUUUCAUUCUGUUUUCCCCACCUAUCAUGUUUAUCUAUGUUCCCCCAUCACGUCAUCUCUCCCUCUCAUGCUCCCUUGUUCUUUCCCUUGCUCUUGUGUUCCCCUCUCGCUCUCCUUUGUCCUCAUAGAGGUCUCUGUGUUCUGUCCCCCUUUCCUGUUCCUGUGUCCCUCUUCUCAUGUUCCACCCAGUCUCCCCAGUUGUUCGUAUGUUUCAUGUCUACAUGUUCCAUGUCCGGUUGUCACAGUCUACAUCUCACCAUGUUUCCUGUUUUAGUUUGACAGUCUGUGUCCUGGGUUAGUGUUUUCAGUUUGCUUUCCUCCCUGUCUCAUCAGGUCCCAUUAGUCCCAGCUCCUUUUUCCUCAUCUUUCUUUAUGUAUUUAAACCCUCUGUUUUCCUCUGCCCAGCGUUGCGUCCUCCCUCAUGGCAGUGAGUUCCUCCUUGUGUUUAGUUUUGUGUUUCUCAGAGAUUUCCUUACUGUGAUUUCCUUAAUCUUAAAUGUUUGGUGAUUCAGUAAUAAAGCUGUAUUUAACUUCA